AUUGAACGCUGGCGGCAUGCCUUACACAUGCAAGUCGAACGGUAACAGGUCUUCGGAUGCUGACGAGUGGCGAACGGGUGAGUAAUACAUCGGAACGUGCCUAGUAGUGGGAGAUAACUACUCGAAAGAGUGGCUAAUACCGCAUGAGAUCUACGGAUGAAAGCAGGGGAUCGCAAGACCUUGUGCUACUAGAGCGGCCGAUGGCAGAUUAGGUAGUUGGUGGGAUAAAAGCUUACCAAGCCGACGAUCUGUAGCUGGUCUGAGAGGACGAUCAGCCACACUGGGACUGAGACACGGCCCAGACUCCUACGGGAGGCAGCAGUGGGGAAUUUUGGACAAUGGGCGAAAGCCUGAUCCAGCAAUGCCGCGUGCAGGAUGAAGGCCUUCGGGUUGUAAACUGCUUUUGUACGGAACGAAAAGCCCCGGGUUAAUACCCUGGGGUCAUGACGGUACCGUAAGAAUAAGCACCGGCUAGCUUCGUGCCAGCCGCCGCCGUAA
rnacentral:rRNA from 1 species